rnacentral:rRNA from 1 species
ACACGGGGGGCGCAAGCGUUAUUCGGAAUUAUUGGGCGUAAGGGCGUGUAGGCGGUUUUAUCGGUCAGAUGUGAAAGCCCAGGGCUCAACCCUGGACGUGCAUUUGAAACAGUAAGACUUGAGUACGGUAGAGGAAAGCGGAAUUCCUGGUGUAGAGGUGAAAGUCGUAGAUAUCAGGAGGAACACCGAUGGCGAAGGCAGCUUUCUGGACCGAAACUGACGCUGAUGCGCGAAGGCGUGGGUAGCGAACAGGAUUAGAAACCCCGGUAGUCC